rnacentral:rRNA from 1 species
CCUACGGGAGGCUGCAGUGAGGAAUAUUGGUCAAUGGACGAGAGUCUGAACCAGCCAAGUAGCGUGAAGGAUGACUGCACUAUGGGUUGUAAACUUCUUUUAUAUGGGAAUAAAAUGUUCCACGUGUGGGAUUUUGUAUGUACCAUAUGAAUAAGGAUCGGCGAACUCCGUGCCAGCAGCCGCGGUAAUACGGAGGAUCCGAGCGUUAUCCGGAUUUAUUGGGUUUAAAGGGAGCGUAGGUGGUUGGUUAAGUCAGUUGUGAAAGUGUGUGGCUCAACCGUAAAAUUGCAGUUGAAACUGGCAGGCUUGAGUACAGUUGAGGUGGGCGGAAUGCGUGGUGUAGCGGUGAAAUGCUUAGAUAUCACGCAGAACUCCGAUUGCGAAGGCAGCUCACUGGACUGCAACUGACACUGAGGCUCGAAAGUGUGGGUAUCAAACAGGAUUAGAUACCCGGGUAGUC